CGAAGCAAUUAGAAGGAAGUUUUCGGAUGGAAUUUUAAUUGACUGAGUGGCGGACGGGUGAGUAACGCGUGGGUAACCUGCCUCAUACAGGGGGAUAACAGUUAGAAAUGACUACUAAUACCGCAUAAGCGCACAGGAUUGCAUGAUCCCGUGUGAAAAACUCCGGUGGUAUGAGAUGGACCCGCGUCUGAUUAGCUGGUUGGUGGGGUAACGGCCUACCAAGGCGACGAUCAGUAGCCGACCUGAGAGGGUGACCGGCCACAUUGGGACUGAGACACGGCCCAAACUCCUACGGGAGGCAGCAGUGGGGAAUAUUGCACAAUGGGGGAAACCCUGAUGCAGCAACGCCGCGCGAGUGAAGAAGUAUUUCGGUAUGUAAAGCUCUAUCAGCAGGGAAGAAAAUGAAAAAACAUGAGUAAGAAGCCCCGGCUAACUACGAGCCAGCAGCCGCGGUAAUACGUAGGGGGCAAGCGUUAUCCGGAUUUACUGGGUGUAAAGGGAGCGUAGACGGCGAUGCAAGUCUGAAGUGAAAGCCCGGGGCUCAACCCCGGGACUGCUUUGGAAACUGUAUGGCUGGAGUGCUGGAGAGGCAAGCGGAAUUCCUAGUGUAGCGGUGAAAUGCGUAGUUUUUAGAAAGAACACCAGUGGCGAAGGCGGCUUGCUGGACAGUAACUGACGUUGAGGCUCGAAAGCGAGGGGCCCUUUUAGGGAAANANACCNNAANAGUCCAAAAAAAAAAGGAGCCAUAGAAAAAUGUUGGGGAGCAAAGCUUCUCGGUGCCGCCGCAAACGCAGUAAGCAUUCCACCUGGGGAGUACGUUCGCAAGAAUGAAACUCAAAGGAAUUGACGGGGACCCGCACAAGCGGUGGAGCAUGUGGUUUAAUUCGAAGCAACGCGAAGAACCUUACCAAGUCUUGACAUCCCGGUGACGCAUGCAGAAAUGUGUGUUCUCUUCGGAGCACUGGAGACAGGUGGUGCAUGGUUGUCGUCAGCUCGUGUCGUGAGAUGUUGGGUUAAGUCCCGCAACGAGCGCAACCCUUAUCCUUAGUAGCCAGCAGGUAAAGCUGGGCACUCUAGGGAGACUGCCAGGGAUAACCUGGAGGAAGGUGGGGAUGACGUCAAAUCAUCAUGCCCCUUAUGAUUUGGGCUACACACGUGCUACAAUGGCGUAAACAAAGGGAAGCGAAGUGGCGACAUGGAGCGAACCCCAAAAAUAACGUCUCAGUUCGGAUUGCAGGCUGCAACCCGCCUGCAUGAAGCCGGAAUCGCUAGUAAU
rnacentral:rRNA from 1 species